rnacentral:rRNA from 1 species
AAUGAACGCUGGCGGCACGCUUAACACAUGCAAGUCGAACGAGAUCUUCGGAUCUAGUGGCAGACGGGUGCGUAACGCGUGGGAACCUGCCCUUUAGUAAGGAAUAACUUUAGGAAACUGAAGCUAAUACCUUAUAAUCCCUUCGGGGGAAAGCUUUAUGCGCUAAUGGAUGGGCCCGCGUUAGAUUAGCUUGUUGGUGAGGUAAAGGCUCACCAAGGCUACGAUCUAUAGCUGGUCUGAGAGGAUGAUCAGCCACACUGGGACUGAGACACGGCCCAGACUCCUACGGGAGGCAGCAGUGGGGAAUAUUGGACAAUGGGGGCAACCCUGAUCCAGCGAUGCCGCGUGAGUGAUGAAGGCCCUAGGGUUGUAAAACUCUUUCGCCAGGGAAGAUAAUGACGGUACCUGGUAAAGAAGAUCCGGCUAACUCCG